UCAUUUAGUCCGAAAAACUAUCAGAAUUUUAUUUAAGCCCAAUAGUAAACUUUGAGCCCAAACUUAAAAUAAACCCUAAGAUUCAUUUCUCAACUUUAGGUUAGGCUGGAAGUUUCAAGAAUUCACACGCCGCUUUCUUUUUUUUCCAUUUCAAAAAGUCUGAAGAACUUUCAACUCUCUCUCUCUCUUAAUCUCUUCGUUCUUCUCUCAAAAAAUCAGAAAAAAUAAAAAAAAAAUCGAAAAAUCAAAUAAAAAUAAGAGAAGAUUGUACAACAAACUUUAAGUGGAAGGAAUUGAUGUCUUCCCAUACUGCUGAACCAGUUUGUCUCAACUCUGAUGAAGAAUUGGACUCUGCUUGUGUCAAAAACGAGAUUAAAGAUAAGAAAAAGGGUGCUCUUGAUGUGAACUGUGAACUUUGUGUUUUGGUUGUGAUUUGUGAACUUUGAACUUUAAUUUAUUUUGUGGUUUGUAAAAAUUAAUAUGGGAUGCAUUUGAAUUUAGAUUUUGGAUGUCAACAUGAACACCACACUUUGUAACUUCAUGGUUUGACACUUGACAGCCUGACAGGUUCAUGUGGAUUAAUCAUUAUUGUGGAUGCAUUAUGUAAAA